rnacentral:rRNA from 1 species
UACAGAGGUCCCGAGCGUUGUUCGGAUUCACUGGGCGUAAAGGGUGCGUAGGUGGCAUGGUAAGUUUGAUGUGAAAGCUCAGGGCUUAACCCUGAAAUGGCAUUGAAUACUACUGUGCUGGAGGUUUGGAGGGGGGACUGGAAUGCUUGGUGUAGCAGUGAAAUGCGUAGAUAUCAAGCGGAACACCAGUGGCGAAGGCGAGUCCCUGGACAACUCCUGACACUGAGGCACGAAAGCUAGGGGAGCAAACAGG